rnacentral:rRNA from 1 species
AUUGAACGCUGGCGGCAUGCCUAACACAUGCAAGUCGAGCGGAUGAAGGGAGCUUGCUCCUGGAUUCAGCGGCGGACGGGUGAGUAAUGCCUAUGAAUCUUCCUGGUAGUGGGGUAUAACGUCCGGAAACGGGCGCUAAUACUGCAUACGUCCUGAGUGAGAAAGUGGGGGAUCUUCGGACCUCACGCUAUCAGAUGAGCCUAGGUCGGAUUAGCUAGUUGGUGGGGUAAAGGCCUACCAAGGCGACGAUCCGUAACUGGUCUGAGAGGAUGAUCAGUCACACUGGAACUGGGACACGGUCCAGACUCCUACGGGAGGCAGCAGUGGGGAAUAUUGGACAGUGGGCGAAAGCCUGAUCCAGCCAUGCCGAGUGUGUGAAGAAGGUCUUCGGAUUGUAAAGCACUUUAAGUUGGGAGGAAGGGCAGUAAGUUAAUACCUUGCUGUUUUGACGUUACCAACAGAAUAAGCACCGGCUAACUUCGUG